UCCUGAGAGACGGCUCACACUUCCAAGGAAGGCAGCAGGCGCGCAAAUUGCCCUAAUCCCAUCUCGGGGAGGCAGUGACAAUAAAUAACUAAGACUUUGCCUUUGGCAAAGCCUAUAGGAGUGAGUACAAUGUAAAUACCUUAACGAGGAGCAACUGGUGGGCAAGUCUGGUGCCAGCAGCCGCGGUAAUUCCAGCACCAGUAGCGUAUGCUAAAGUUGUUGCAGUUGAAAAGCUCGUAGCUGAAGUUUGGGGUUGGAUGGCAGGGUCUGCUCUGUUUUGAGUGUGUACCAGCUAUUUCCUUCUCUUCCUUCCGGAUUUGCUUCUCCCGGCCUUCGCGGGCCGGGGUUACUAUGGGGCUCCGGAUCUUUCACUGUGAAAAAAUUAGAGUGUUCAAAGCAGGCCACUUUUAUGCCUUGAAUAUUUCAGCAUGGGAUGAUGAAACAGGUCUUUGCGUCUAUUUUCAGUUGGUUUCUAGAAGGCGAAGAAAUGAUUAAUGGGAACAGUUAGGGGAAUUUGUAUUUUAUAGUCAGAGGUGAAAUUCUUGGAUUUAUGAAAGACAAACUUCUGCGAAAGCAUUUUCCAGAGAUGCUUCCGUCAGUCAAGAACUAAAGUUGGGGGAUCGAAGAUGAUCAGAUACCGUCGUAGUCUCAACCAUAAACUAUGCCGACCAGGGAUUCGGGGCACGUUAAUCAGACGACUCUCCGAGCACCUUGCGAGAAAUCAUUGAGUCUUUGGGUUCUGGGGGGAGUAUGGUCGCAAGGCUGAAACUUAAAGAAAUUGACGGAAGGGCACACCAAGAGUGGAGCCUGCGGCUUAAUUUGACCCAACGCGGGGAAUUUUACCAAGUCCGGACAGAAAAAGGAUUGACAGAUUAAAGCUCUUUCUUGAUUUUUUGGGUGGUGGUGCAUGGCCGUUUGUAGUUGGUGGAGUGAUUUGUCUGCUUAAUUGCGUUAACGAACGAGACCUCAGCCUGCUAAAUAGUUGUGCGAACCUUCUGAAUGCGGGGUGAAGGGGACGGAGGCAGUAGCCGCUUUCGGGUGGCUGCACCUCCCCCCUGGAUCCUCUGAUGUGUUCGCAAUGGGCCGCUUUUCAGGUCCGACAUACUUCUUAGAGGGACUACCGGUAUCGAGCCGGGGGAAGUUUGAGGCAACAACAGGUCUGUGAUGCCCUUAGAUGUCUUGGGCGGCACGCGCGCUACAAUGGUCAGUUCAACGAGUAAUUCUCCUUCUGCGGUAGCAGUGGGUAAUCUUUUGAACGCUGAUCGUGUUGGGGAUAGAUCUUUGCAAUUUUGGAUCUUCAACGAGGAAUUCUUAGUAAAUGCAAUUCAUCAUAUUGCGUUGACUUCGUCCCUGCCCUUUGUACACACCGCCCGUCGCUCCAACCGAUGUAGGAUCCGGUGAAAUCUC
rnacentral:rRNA from 1 species